rnacentral:snoRNA from 2 species
UCCCUCUCAAGGUUGCACCUGGAGAGUUUCCAGUACUCUACCAGUCUCGACUAUGGGAGGGAAGGUCAAACAGAAGCAUAACCCUUCCAUUCCUAGCUAGGGCAGUGGCUAACGAGUGGAAGGCAAUCUGCUACAAGU